AGCAAACAAUUUACGCAUGAUAAAUACAAAAACAUUUAUAUAACCUAACCCAAAAGUGUAACAUGAGUUACGAAAUGUCAUUUUUCUUAUUUUUUUUAUGAUUUCGACAAAAUACAUUAAAGGGUAGAAACUUAUAUGCCAUGCUGUCCUUCACAUAAGUGUACCUGAUAAUUUGGUGUCUCAAAUAAAUUUCCUCCUGGAAGCCUUCUCCUGGUAUAGCAUACUUAAUUCAUGUAAUGUGAGUUACCUUUAUUUACCUAACAUGAGUUACCAUAAUUUUUGUAGGAUUUAUUAUAAUUUUGAGCAGUCAGAUUGGUUAUGAAUUACAUACAAUACAACUAACAAUAUAUCUCAACAUAUUUAAUGUAUAUUUAUCUCUGUAUGCCACAUAAAAUCCUAUAGGGAAUAGUUACUUCUACUUUACAACAAUUUUCAAUUUUUGCAGAAUGCCUUUAAGUGCAGCUGAGAAGAAGAAGAAGAAGGUAGAAAUUGGAAGAUGGGCAGAUAUGAAGAUUAUAAAAUCAAACACAAGGAAACUAUGAAAAAAUUCAGGAAAAAGAAGACGGAACAGGAAAAAUGUUUGAGUUAAAGAGAACAAGAAAGGAUUGCUGCAGACAGGAAACGGAAUGUUAGAUAAAGAGUUGCCAAGUACAGGAAGCAGCUAAAGGAAGUUUCUUCAGCUAGACCAAGUAGUUCUCCCUCUCCACCACAUAAAAAUAGGUCUUCAUUGAUAAAAGCCAUACCAAAAGAGAAACGUGCAGUUCCAGCAUCACCCACAAAACCAAAAUGUGUUAUUAGAAGGUUGUAUCAAACAUUUUUAGAAGUAGAAGGAAUCUCUAAUCAAAAAAUAAGUGAUGAAAUACUAAGUGCAGUGAGCAAAUCCUAUGAAAGGGAUGACAUUAGCAGACAGGCCCCUGGACGCAAAGACAUUGUGACUGUAAAAGAUGAGAAAGGGACACCAUUCAGACAAGAUGCUUUCAAGAUAUGAAAAGCGAUCAACAUGUUCCAGGAUUGUUUCUAAGAUGAAGAUAUUGAACUCAGGGAGUGUUAUUCCUGGGGCAGUUUGUAUUGCAGUGAUGAGCAUAGCAUCGUAGACUUGCAGCCAGACAUGCUUGACAAAGCUCUGCACGUACCUAUAAAUCAGGCAACACAGCGAUCAUGUGGCAUUGAAGAAAGAACUGAUUGGCUAGUGGUUGGCACCCAUCACUUGACAUGUCAAAAUGUCAACCAUAAAUUUAUUUAAUCAAAGUAUAUUACCAUGUACAUGACUGCAGUUUAUCUAAAGUAAACAUAUUAAGCAUAUAAUAUUUCAAUAAGAGAUAUAUGUAUGGCAUUUGAUUACAAAAAUUUACCUACUUAUCUGACUGAAUAUGAUUAUUGUCAAGGGGUUUUUCAAGAGUUGCAGAUCAUAUUUUUAAAACUACAGAAUGAGACAAUGACUUAAAGCACUAGUAGCUUGUAUUAUCAAAAAUUUUCAAAGUCAUGUUUGCAUCCAUCAAUAUAAUUUGUUUCAUUUCAACUGCAUAUUUGCUCAACUAAUAUUCCAUGGCAAACACUCUCAUAACUUUAUGUAAUUGUGAAUGGCUAACAACAACUGUCAUGAAUAACUUAAUGAUGACUGAUUAACUUCACCUUCUGCCAUUCUUAUAUAAAAAUUUAAAAUGCGUAAUAUUAAAUUCAUUAUUAGACCUCAUGGUUUUCCAAUGUUAUUAUGAGAAAUUAUAUGUUCACAAAAACUUGACUGUGUCAGUAAGUU